rnacentral:lncRNA from 1 species
GCUCAGGGGUCCCCAAUAGAAGCCGCAGGCGUCCAGGAGCGCGCUGGUCCGCGUGAUGCGCCGGUAAUCGGAGUGGGAGCGGAAGGUGCGGAAGAACAUCCUGGAGUGCGUCACUUGUAUCUUCGCCCUAAAAGACAGGAAUGGAAAAAGGACCUUUAAUACCUGUCUGCUCCCCCUCCACUCCCCCCAGUCCAUUCCACUCCAUCUGGAAAGCAAUUGAGUGCGUGUUGCUCAGGUAAGCCAUUCUUCCUGUUCUUGGGGCAGCUCCCGCGGUGGCUGGGUCUUGCAGGAGCUCUUCAUUUUAGUUCACACUUCACCGUAAGGAUGCUUGGAUUUGGCCAAUUCUAUCCAUGGUUCAGGUCACUUCCUGACAGUAGCUGUAGGAGUGGACCUUGUUUUCCCUAGUCCCUUCCCUCAGGCCCCUUCCCUCAGGCCCCUUCCCUAAGGCCCACGGUGUUGUUGAAAAGGAGACAGCAGUCAGUGAAUCUCGUGUCAAGCUUUAUUUGGCAGGUGGCUUUGCUCAGUACUCAGAUCUCGUGGCUCCUUGGCAGCUCAGGGCUCAGACAUCGACAUGGAAUGGUGGUGUGGCCUCACAUGAUGUUGCUUGGGCAGGGAACCAUGGUGCCAGGAGAUCAGGAGGUUCUGGAUUGAGGCUGCAGCUGACCUGGAUUGGAGGAGGAGGGACGAAAGCCUGCCCACCUGCUCUUGGUGGUGAUGAUGGUCUGGUGUUUGGGGCUCUCAGAGGGCUCAUAUAUAAAGGCAGACAGAAGACUGGCAUCCUCAGGCAGCUUGGAGGAUGCUCCCCACAGUUCCAACAAGGCCACACCCUGGCCAAACAUUGAAACCACCAUACCCAGCUUCUCCAAGAGACUCAGGAGGCUCCUGUUUUUCAUCGGACGGUGGCAUUUUUCAAGAUGUGGCGAGAUGCUCUUGAAGUCUGGUAAAAUUCUCACGCAGGAGUUUUGAUGGACUUGCUAUUCUGUGCAUCUAGUAUUUUUUACACCUUAUGGUGUAUGAGCGGCGGCGACGGCAGCAUCCUAGAA